rnacentral:rRNA from 1 species
GAGGAAUAAGCAUCGGCUAACUCCGUGCCAGCAGCCGCGGUAAUACGGGGGAUGCAAGCGUUAUCCGGAAUCAUUGGGCGUAAAGCGCCUGUAGGUUGUUUAUCAAGUCUGUUGUUAAAGACUAGGGCUUAACCCUAGAAAAGCAAUGGAAACUGAUAGACUAGAGUAUGGCAGGGGUAGAGGGAAUUUCUAGUGUAGCGGUGAAAUGCGUAGAUAUUAGAAAGAACACCGGUGGCGAAAGCGCUCUACUGGACCAUUACUGACACUCAGAGGCGAAAGCUAGGGUAGCAAAAGGGAUUAGAUACCCCUGUAGUCCUAGCCGUAAACGAUGGAUACUAGAUGUUGUGCUUCAUGUACAGUAUCCUAGCUAACGCGUUAAGUAUCCCGCCUGGGGAGUACGCUCGCAAGGGUGAAACUCAAAGGAAUUGACGGGGGCCCGCACAAGCGGUGGAGCAUGUGGUUUAAUUCGAUGCAACGCGAAGAACCUUACCAGGACUUGACAUACUACAAAUUUUUUGGAAACAGAAAAGUGCCUUCGGGAAUGUAGAUACAGGUGGUGCAUGGCUGUCGUCAGCUCGUGUCGUGAGAUGUUGGGUUAAGUCCCGCAACGAGCGCAACCCUUAUUUUUAGUUACCAAUUCGUUGGGUUUUCUAGAAAGACUGCCGGUGACAAACCGGAGGAAGGUGAGGAUGACGUCAAGUCAGCAUGCCCCUUAUGUCCUGGGCUACACACGUGCUACAAUGGUUAGGACAAAGAGUCGCAAGUUUGCAAAAACAAGCUAAUCUCGUAAACCUAACCUAAGUUCAGAUUGUAGGCUGCAACUCGCCUACGUGAAG